CAGAAACAUUAAUGGAAACUGUGCAAACACAGUAGCAAAUGCGAUGUUGCAAGCAGAAACAUCCUAGAAAACUAAUGGUUGACUUUAUAGCGCCAACCUUUAGUACCAGGCGUUCAUUUCUCUGAGAAUAUGUGACGGUACAGCAUGUUCCUUGGCUAGAAGGGACAUUCUCAAGUAUUGACUUUGGUGAGAUGUCCUCUCAGCGUACCAUUGUCUCCCACCUGCCAACUUCUGUGUUUCCUGAAGGGAUCAAGAAAGAAGGAAAGAGUUUCAGAUGGUGGAAUUCCAUUAAUAGACUACAAGGGCUGACUCUCACCAGUAGGACUCAGAUACUCUUCGCAAAAAGAAAAUGGUCUUUGGAACCUUUACAUCUACAAUGAUUGAUGGAAGCGCCAAUGCGGAGAAAGACAUUCGUUAUUGUGGUACCUGGGCUUAAUAAGAUUUCACAAAGGAAUAGUUCAUUUGAGUUCAAACUCGAGUCGUACCACCCUGUCAGCCCCCAGCGCCAGAGAAGGUACAGAUUACAUUUUGAAGGACUAAAGAAGUGGAAGUUCUUUUUGUAUAUUGUUCUUGUUUGGUUUUGUCUUAAUAUUUAGCUGUGCGGAACAACAUUCCCCAAUGUUUUUAUGAUAUUUUUUUAUUGAUCAGUCCAAGUCCAGUAGGUGGCAGUAACAAACAUUUUAGGAUGUAGUCCACCGAUAAACCCGAAGAAGAAGAUAGGCCAACCAGCAACCUGGUCUGUGCUAUGGCAGAACGGCAUAUUGUUCAGCUACCUGGACAUCUCUGGGAAAACUGGAUAUCAUACAGGCACAAGGACUCUGAGUAUAUAGUGGGGUGUUUUUAGACUCCUCCGGUGUUAACUUUGCAGAUUCAAAUGGGGGACACUGCAGAUUAGGAGACUGCCCCUCUUACUUAUUUAUCGGGUCAGCCUACAGGGACCUGGGGUUUCCCGCCCGACCAAACGGAUGCUACAGGAGUGCUGGGAAAAAAUGACCAGGCCAUGGAGAUGGGAUUGUGGGAAAUGAAGUUUAGCCUCUCCGUGGCUGUGCCAAUUAAUCCACUGUGGUUACAUCCACCUUGGCAAUUGAUUUGCAGAUUUCAGACGUAAUACUGGGGAAACUGAGAGGGAGCUGAUUCAUCCCGUUUGCUUGAAAGUAAUCAGGAAAUUGAAUCAGUAGACCGUGUGUUGAUGCAGUGUGGGUGGAAGGAGAGAGACUGAGAGAAGUGUGGAUUCCCAAAAUCAGUUGGAAGAGUGUGUUGAGUAGACGGUCUAUAAAUUAAUUUAGAAAAAUUACACUGAGCAAAAUUAUAAACACAACACUUGUUUUUGCCCCCAUUUAUC
ensembl:lncRNA